UACGAAGGGGGCUAGCGUUGUUCGGAAUCACUGGGCGUAAAGCGCACGCAGGCGGAUCGUUAAGUCAGGGGUGAAAUGCCGAGGCUCAACCUCGGAACUGCCUUUGAUACUGGCGAUCUUAGAGUCCGGGAGAGGUGAGUGGAACUCCGAGUGUAGAGGUGAAAUUCGUAGAUAUCGUAAGGAAGACCAGUGGCGAAGGCGGGUCUCUGGACAGUUCCUGACGCUGAGGCACGAAGGUCAGGGGAGCAAACGGG
rnacentral:rRNA from 1 species